GUACUCAGUACUCACUAUUAGCAGCACAAGAAGAUCCUUUAGCAUGGUCUCUAUUUCAGUCUGAAGGCCCCCCAGUGAUGUCCAGAUUCAAGGAAGCUGACCCCCUGGGAGGGGAGUGUAAUAAACUGCCUGAUGGAGAGCCCGGCCCUGGGUGGAGGUGGGCAGAGACCCCAAAGGGGACAGAUUGGGGGUUCAUCUGACAGACUGAUGAAUGAUGAUUCGAUGGGGAAAGUAAACAACCAUUUGGUGACACCCCCUGGAUGCUGUAUGCCUGGUCACCUAAUGGUCAUGUAACGGUUCCUUUGUGCCCUCCCAGACGUGGUGGGUGUCGCCUAGGGGUUGGAGCAGCCAUGAUCAUAUUCAGUGAACACUGCCUGCCAGCCAUCUUCAGAGAACCUCAUGUGCUGAUGUCUGGUCUGCCCGUGCCUUAGGAGCACAUUUAGGCUCUGAGCCUAAGGGGCUUGCAGACUCUGGGUGAGCCUUGGUCCCUGCCCUUGAGAAGGUCCUGGUUGCCCAAAGAGGUUGGCCAGAAGUGAAGAAGGCCGAGGGCAGGGACAAACAGCAGCGCCUACGGUGUGCGCCAGGUGCUCGGCACAGGUGAUUUCAUUCACUCUUCACAAGGACCCUGUGAAGCAGGUAUCGCUCACCUCACUUUGUGAAAUGGAAACUGUAUCGCUCAC
rnacentral:lncRNA from 1 species